CCUCUCUGCAGCAUAAUGUCUUGUGCAGCCUACUUAGAUGGCAACGCAACGCCAAAGUCCAUGAGCAGAGCCAAACAAUGGACUGACGAGGUGGAGAACUUAUACAGAUUCCAACAGGCAGGCUACAGAGAUGAACUGGAAUACAAACAAAUCGACAGGUGGCCUGAGACUGGGUUUGUGAAGAAGCUUCAGCGUCGAGACAACACAUUCUAUUACUACAACAGAAAAAGAGAAUGUGAAGACCGGGAAGUCCAUAAAGUGAAGGUCUAUGCAUAUUAAGUCAGGAGUGUCCAGCAAUCUCUUUUCCAUUUUGAAUAUCUUUUGACGUGUUUUUGAAGAAGACGUCUGUAGGAAGGAAGGCAGCAUCAUCCCAGCUGUGGAAUGUAGACCAGUUCACUGAAUAAAGGGUGUGAGGCUGAAGCUGUCUGAUGUGUGUGAACCUGUGAUGGGAGGUAUGUGUGUGUUAUAAGGGUCCUUUUGAUGAGUGUUUUGUUGUGGAUCCAGAUGAACUAUUGAACUGUGUGAGAGGGGAUUAUAGUCUGGGGCUAUCACACCCUCAUCAUGUGAUAUUGUGACGUUAGUAUGAGGACUGGGAUUACCGUCAACAAAAUAAAAUACCUAAAGUCUGA